rnacentral:rRNA from 1 species
AUACGUAGGUGGCAAGCGUUGUCCGGAAUUAUUGGGCGUAAAGCGCGCGCAGGCGGUCCUUUAAGUCUGAUGUGAAAGCCCACGGCUCAACCGUGGAGGGUCAUUGGAAACUGGGGGACUUGAGUGCAGAAGAGGAAAGUGGAAUUCCAAGUGUAGCGGUGAAAUGCGUAGAGAUUUGGAGGAACACCAGUGGCGAAGGCGACUUUCUGGUCUGUAACUGACGCUGAGGCGCGAAAGCGUGGGGAGCAAACAGGAUUAGAUACCCUGGUAGUCCACGCCGUAAACGAUGAGUGCUAAGUGUUAGGGGGUUUCCGCCCCUUAGUGCUGCAGCUAACGCAUUAAGCACUCCGCCUGGGUAGUACGGUCGCAAGACUGAAACUCAAAGGAAUUGACGGGG